AACCCAUGUUAAGGACAUUUUAGUUUGGAGCUCCUUGAACUGUCCCAUGUCUCAAAAAGCAACUCAAUUCCAUUUGCACAAAAGAUGAUAUUUCAUUCCUAAAGCU